rnacentral:rRNA from 1 species
AGCAGUCAAGAAUAUUAGUCAAUGCUCGAAAGAGUGAACCUACCCUAACUUGAAAUCAAUUUAAAAUUGAUAACAUAAGGGAAAAUAAUGAUAUUACCUUAUUAUUAGUGUCGUCCAAAACUGGUGCCAGAAGACUCGGUAAGGCCAGAGACACAAACGUUAAUCGUCUUAAUCAGGCGUAAAGGGUUUGUAGGCGGCUUUUAAUUUUCUUAUAAAAUUUUUUAAAAUUAAAUAAGUUAAGAAUAAAAGCUAGAAUCAAAUAGAGGAUAUAUCAAAUAAUGCUUAGAGUAGGUCUGAUAUCCAUAGAUACUAAGUAGAAUAUUAAAGGCGAAAGCUUUUUUCCAUAAAUGAUUGACGCUCAGAAACGAAGGUGAGGAUAGGAAAUAGGAUUAGAUACCCAAAAUACCCCUCUCUGUCAACGAUGAAUGGUAAUUAUUAAUAAUAAAUUUAUUAUUAAUGAUAAUGUUAACACGAUAACCAUUCCGCCUUGUGAGUACAACUGCAAAGUUGAAAACAAAAAAAUUAGUCCGGUUUCGGAGCCAAACGAAGUGAAGCAUGUUAUUUAAUUCUAUAAUCCGCAA